UCAUAAUAACUUAACGAAUCGCAUGGCUUGUGCCGGCGAUGGUUCAUUCAAAUUUCUGCCCUAUCAACUUUCGAUGGUAGAGUAGUGGUCUACCAGUGGUUUCAACGGGUAACGGGGAAUUAGGGUUCUAUUCCGGAGAGGGAGCCUGAGAAACGGCUACCACAUCCAAGGAGGGCAGCAGGCGCGCAAAUUACCCAAUCCCGAACGGGGAGGUAGUGACAAUAAAUACUGAUACAGGGCUCUUUUGGGUCUUGUAAUUGGAAUGAGUACAAUUUAAAUCCCUUAACGAGGAAAAUUGGAGGGCAAGUCUGGUGCCAGCAGCCGCGGUAAUUCCAGAUCCAAUAGCGUAUAUUAAAGUUGUUGCAGUUAAAAAGCUCGUAGUUGAACCUUGGGC
rnacentral:rRNA from 1 species